CACGUACUGUGCAAACGUUAUUCGGAAUCACUGGGCUUAAAGGGUGCGUAGGCGGCUGAUUAAGUAGGGUGUGAAAUCCCUCGGCUCAACCGAGGAAUUGCGCUCUAAACUGGUCGGCUUGAGUGAGAUAGGGGUGUGCGGAACUUCCGGUGGAGCGGUGAAAUGUGUUGAUAUCGGAAGGAACGCCGGUAGCGAAAGCGGCACACUGGGUCUUAACUGACGCUGAGGCACGAAAGCCAGGGUAGCGAAC
rnacentral:rRNA from 1 species